rnacentral:rRNA from 1 species
UACGAAGGGGGCUAGCGUUGUUCGGAAUUACUGGGCGUAAAGCGCACGUAGGCGGAAUGUUAAGUCAGGGGUGAAAUCCCGGGGCUCAACCCCGGAACUGCCUUUGAUACUGGCAUUCUCGAGUCCGGAAGAGGUGAGUGGAAUUCCGAGUGUAGAGGUGAAAUUCGUAGAUAUUCGGAGGAACACCAGUGGCGAAGGCGGCUCACUGGUACGGUACUGACGCUGAGGCACGAAAGCGUGGGGAGCAAACAGG